GGUUAAGCGACUAAGCGUACACGGUGGAUGCCCUGGCAGUCAGAGGCGAUGAAGGACGUGCUAAUCUGCGAUAAGCGUCGGUAAGGUGAUAUGAACCGUUAUAACCGGCGAUUUCCGAAUGGGGAAACCCAGUGUGUUUCGACACACUAUCAUUAACUGAAUCCAUAGGUUAAUGAGGCGAACCGGGGGAACUGAAACAUCUAAGUACCCCGAGGAAAAGAAAUCAACCGAGAUUCCCCCAGUAGCGGCGAGCGAACGGGGAGCAGCCCAGAGCCUGAAUCAGUGUGUGUGUUAGUGGAAGCGUCUGGAAAGGCGCGCGAUACAGGGUGACAGCCCCGUACACAAAAAUGCACAUACUGUGAGCUCGAUGAGUAGGGCGGGACACGUGGUAUCCUGUCUGAAUAUGGGGGGACCAUCCUCCAAGGCUAAAUACUCCUGACUGACCGAUAGUGAACCAGUACCGUGAGGGAAAGGCGAAAAGAACCCCGGCGAGGGGAGUGAAAAAGAACCUGAAACCGUGUACGUACAAGCAGUGGGAGCACGCUUAGGCGUGUGACUGCGUACCUUUUGUAUAAUGGGUCAGCGACUUAUAUUCUGUAGCAAGGUUAACCGAAUAGGGGAGCCGAAGGGAAACCGAGUCUUAACUGGGCGUUAAGUUGCAGGGUAUAGACCCGAAACCCGGUGAUCUAGCCAUGGGCAGGUUGAAGGUUGGGUAACACUAACUGGAGGACCGAACCGACUAAUGUUGAAAAAUUAGCGGAUGACUUGUGGCUGGGGGUGAAAGGCCAAUCAAACCGGGAGAUAGCUGGUUCUCCCCGAAAGCUAUUUAGGUAGCGCCUCGUGAAUUCAUCUCCGGGGGUAGAGCACUGUUUCGGCAAGGGGGUCAUCCCGACUUACCAACCCGAUGCAAACUGCGAAUACCGGAGAAUGUUAUCACGGGAGACACACGGCGGGUGCUAACGUCCGUCGUGAAGAGGGAAACAACCCAGACCGCCAGCUAAGGUCCCAAAGUCAUGGUUAAGUGGGAAACGAUGUGGGAAGGCCCAGACAGCCAGGAUGUUGGCUUAGAAGCAGCCAUCAUUUAAAGAAAGCGUAAUAGCUCACUGGUCGAGUCGGCCUGCGCGGAAGAUGUAACGGGGCUAAACCAUGCACCGAAGCUGCGGCAGCGACGCUUAUGCGUUGUUGGGUAGGGGAGCGUUCUGUAAGCCUGCGAAGGUGUGCUGUGAGGCAUGCUGGAGGUAUCAGAAGUGCGAAUGCUGACAUAAGUAACGAUAAAGCGGGUGAAAAGCCCGCUCGCCGGAAGACCAAGGGUUCCUGUCCAACGUUAAUCGGGGCAGGGUGAGUCGACCCCUAAGGCGAGGCCGAAAGGCGUAGUCGAUGGGAAACAGGUUAAUAUUCCUGUACUUGGUGUUACUGCGAAGGGGGGACGGAGAAGGCUAUGUUGGCCGGGCGACGGUUGUCCCGGUUUAAGCGUGUAGGCUGGUUUUCCAGGCAAAUCCGGAAAAUCAAGGCUGAGGCGUGAUGACGAGGCACUACGGUGCUGAAGCAACAAAUGCCCUGCUUCCAGGAAAAGCCUCUAAGCAUCAGGUAACAUCAAAUCGUACCCCAAACCGACACAGGUGGUCAGGUAGAGAAUACCAAGGCGCUUGAGAGAACUCGGGUGAAGGAACUAGGCAAAAUGGUGCCGUAACUUCGGGAGAAGGCACGCUGAUAUGUAGGUGAGGUCCCUCGCGGAUGGAGCUGAAAUCAGUCGAAGAUACCAGCUGGCUGCAACUGUUUAUUAAAAACACAGCACUGUGCAAACACGAAAGUGGACGUAUACGGUGUGACGCCUGCCCGGUGCCGGAAGGUUAAUUGAUGGGGUUAGCGCAAGCGAAGCUCUUGAUCGAAGCCCCGGUAAACGGCGGCCGUAACUAUAACGGUCCUAAGGUAGCGAAAUUCCUUGUCGGGUAAGUUCCGACCUGCACGAAUGGCGUAAUGAUGGCCAGGCUGUCUCCACCCGAGACUCAGUGAAAUUGAACUCGCUGUGAAGAUGCAGUGUACCCGCGGCAAGACGGAAAGACCCCGUGAACCUUUACUAUAGCUUGACACUGAACAUUGAGCCUUGAUGUGUAGGAUAGGUGGGAGGCUUUGAAGUGUGGACGCCAGUCUGCAUGGAGCCGACCUUGAAAUACCACCCUUUAAUGUUUGAUGUUCUAACGUUGACCCGUGAUCCGGGUUGCGGACAGUGUCUGGUGGGUAGUUUGACUGGGGCGGUCUCCUCCUAAAGAGUAACGGAGGAGCACGAAGGUUGGCUAAUCCUGGUCGGACAUCAGGAGGUUAGUGCAAUGGCAUAAGCCAGCUUGACUGCGAGCGUGACGGCGCGAGCAGGUGCGAAAGCAGGUCAUAGUGAUCCGGUGGUUCUGAAUGGAAGGGCCAUCGCUCAACGGAUAAAAGGUACUCCGGGGAUAACAGGCUGAUACCGCCCAAGAGUUCAUAUCGACGGCGGUGUUUGGCACCUCGAUGUCGGCUCAUCACAUCCUGGGGCUGAAGUAGGUCCCAAGGGUAUGGCUGUUCGCCAUUUAAAGUGGUACGCGAGCUGGGUUUAGAACGUCGUGAGACAGUUCGGUCCCUAUCUGCCGUGGGCGCUGGAGAACUGAGGGGGGCUGCUCCUAGUACGAGAGGACCGGAGUGGACGCAUCACUGGUGUUCGGGUUGUCAUGCCAAUGGCACUGCCCGGUAGCUAAAUGCGGAAGAGAUAAGUGCUGAAAGCAUCUAAGCACGAAACUUGCCCCGAGAUGAGUUCUCCCUGACCCUUUAAGGGUCCUGAAGGAACGUUGAAGACGACGACGUUGAUAGGCCGGGUGUGUAAGCGCAGCGAUGCGUUGAGCUAACCGGUACUAAUGAACCGUGAGGCUUAACCUU
rnacentral:rRNA from 1 species